GCCUAUGGCCUGACCACUCUGAAUGCGCCCGAUCUCAUUUAAUCUCGGAAGCUAAGCAGGGCCGGGCCUGGCUAGUACUUGGAUGGGAGACCACCUAGGAAUACUAGGUGCUGUAGGCU
ensembl:rRNA 5S_rRNA 5S ribosomal RNA